rnacentral:rRNA from 1 species
CGCCGCGUGAGGGAUGACGGCCUUCGGGUUGUAAACCUCUUUCAGCAGGGACGAAGCGAGAGUGACGGUACCUGCAGAAGAAGCACCGGCCAACUACAUGCCAGCAGCCGCGGUAAUACGUAGGGUGCAAGCGUUGUCCGGAAUUACUGGGCGUAAAGAGCUCGUAGGCGGUUUGUCGCGUCGUCUGUGAAAACUCGAGGCUCAACCUCGAGCUUGCAGGCGAUACGGGCAGACUUGAGUACUGCAGGGGAGACUGGAAUUCCUGGUGUAGCGGUGAAAUGCGCAGAUAUCAGGAGGAACACCGGUGGCGAAGGCGGGUCUCUGGGCAGUAACUGACGCUGAGGAGCGAAAGCGUGGGUAGCGAACAGGAUUAGAUACCCUGGUAGUCCACGCCGUAAACGGUGGGCGCUAGGUGUGGGUUUCCUUCCACGGGAUCCGUGCCGUAUCUAACGCAUUAAGCGCCCCGCCUGGGGAGUACGGCCGCAAGGCUAAAACUCACAGGAAUUGACGGGGGCCCGCACAAGCGGCGGACCAUGUGGAUUAAUUCAAUGCAACGCGAAGAACCUUACCUGGGUUUGACAUAUACCGGAAAGCCGUAUAGAUACAGCCCCCC